AAUAAGUGUAGUUUUACACUAUUCACAUUUAACGUUUGACUGUUCAUCUUAUUUAAAAAAAAUUUACGAUUAGUAUUUUUAUUGCUAUUAGAUGAUAAAACAUGGAUAGUACUUUAUGUUUGACUAAAUAUUUUUAAUAUUUUUAUUUUUUUUUAAAUAAGACGGACGGUCAAACGUUGAGCACGAAUAACAACUAUAUUUAUU
rfam:Oryza sativa (indica cultivar-group) chromosome 2, whole genome shotgun sequence.